rnacentral:rRNA from 1 species
UACGUAGGGGGCGAGCGUUGUCCGGAAUUACUGGGCGUAAAGGGCGUGCAGGAGGUCAUGUAAGUCAGGUGUGAAAGGCUAGGGCUCAACUCUGGUUGGUCGUCGGAUACUGAAUGGCUUGAGGGCAGGAGAGGGAAGUGGAAUUCCAGGUGUAGCGGUGAAAUGCGUAGAGAUCGGGAGGAACACCAGUGGCGAAGGCGGCUUCCUGGAUUGUACCUGACGCUCAGGCGCGAAAGCUGGGGGAGCGAACGGGAUUAGAUACCCGCGUAGUCC